AAAUCGUACCCCAAACCGACACAGGUGGUCAGGUAGAGAAUACCAAGGCGCUUGAGAGAACUCGGGUGAAGGAACUAGGCAAAAUGGUGCCGUAACUUCGGGAGAAGGCACGCUGGUGUGUAGGUGAAGUCCCUGCGGAUGGAGCUGAGACCAGUCGAAGAUACCAGCUGGCUGCAACUGUUUAUUAAAAACACAGCACUGUGCAAACACGAAAGUGGACGUAUACGGUGUGACGCCUGCCCGGUGCCGGAAGGUUAAUUGAUGGGGUUAUCCGUAAGGAGAAGCUCUUGAUCGAAGCCCCGGUAAACGGCGGCCGUAACUAUAACGGUCCUAAGGUAGCGAAAUUCCUUGUCGGGUAAGUUCCGACCUGCACGAAUGGCGUAAUGAUGGCCAGGCUGUCUCCACCCGAGACUCAGUGAAAUUGAACUCGCUGUGAAGAUGCAGUGUACCCGCGGCAAGACGGAAAGACCCCGUGAACCUUUACUAUAGCUUGACACUGAACAUUGAGCCUUGAUGUGUAGGAUAGGUGGGAGGCUUUGAAGCGUGGACGCCAGUCUGCGUGGAGCCAACCUUGAAAUACCACCCUUUAAUGUUUGAUGUUCUAACGUUGGCCCCUUAUCGGGGUUGCGGACAGUGUCUGGUGGGUAGUUUGACUGGGGCGGUCUCCUCCCAAAGCGUAACGGAGGAGCACGAAGGUUAGCUAAUCCUGGUCGGACAUCAGGAGGUUAGUGCAAUGGCAUAAGCUAGCUUGACUGCGAGCGUGACGGCGCGAGCAGGUGCGAAAGCAGGUCAUAGUGAUCCGGUGGUUCUGAAUGGAAGGGCCAUCGCUCAACGGAUAAAAGGUACUCCGGGGAUAACAGGCUGAUACCGCCCAAGAGUUCAUAUCGACGGCGGUGUUUGGCACCUCGAUGUCGGCUCAUCACAUCCUGGGGCUGAAGUAGGUCCCAAGGGUAUGGCUGUUCGCCAUUUAAAGUGGUACGCGAGCUGGGUUUAGAACGUCGUGAGACAGUUCGGUCCCUAUCUGCCGUGGGCGCUGGAGAAUUGAGGGGGGCUGCUCCUAGUACGAGAGGACCGGAGUGGACGCAUCACUGGUGUUCGGGUUGUCAUGCCAAUGGCACUGCCCGGUAGCUAAAUGCGGAAGAGAUAAGUGCUGAAAGCAUCUAAGCACGAAACUUGCCCCGAGAUGAGUUCUCCCUGAGACUUUAAGUCUCCUGAAGGAACGUUGAAGACGACGACGUUGAUAGGCCGGGUGUGUAAGCGCAGCGAUGCGUUGAGCUAACCGGUACUAAUGAACCGUGAGGCUUAACCUU
rnacentral:rRNA from 1 species